rnacentral:rRNA from 1 species
CUAACAUGCAAGUCGAACGAUGAAGCCCAGCUUGCUGGGUGGAUUAGUGGCGAACGGGUGAGUAACACGUGAGUAACCUGCCCUUGACUCUGGGAUAAGCGUUGGAAACGACGUCUAAUACCGGAUACGAGCUUCCACCGCAUGGUGAGUUGCUGGAAAGAAUUUUGGUCAAGGAUGGACUCGCGGCCUAUCAGCUAGUUGGUGAGGUAACGGCUCACCAAGGCGACGACGGGUAGCCGGCCUGAGAGGGUGACCGGCCACACUGGGACUGAGACACGGCCCAGACUCCUACGGGAGGCAGCAGUGGGGAAUAUUGCACAAUGGGCGAAAGCCUGAUGCAGCAACGCCGCGUGAGGGACGACGGCCUUCGGGUUGUAAACCUCUUUUAGCAGGGAAGAAGCGAAAGUGACGGUACCUGCAGAAAAAGCACCGGCUAACUACGUGCCAGCAGCCGCGGUAAUACGUAGGGUGCAAGCGUUGUCCGGAAUUAUUGGGCGUAAAGAGCUCGUAGGCGGUUUGUCGCGUCUGCUGUGAAAUCCCGAGGCUCAACCUCGGGUCUGCAGUGGGUACGGGCAGACUAGAGUGCGGUAGGGGAGAUUGGAAUUCCUGGUGUAGCGGUGGAAUGCGCAGAUAUCAGGAGGAACACCGAUGGCGAAGGCAGAUCUCUGGGCCGUUACUGACGCUGAGGAGCGAAAGGGUGGGGAGCAAACAGGCUUAGAUACCCUGGUAGUCCACCCCGUAAACGUUGGGCGCUAGAUGUGGGGACCAUUCCACGGUUUCCGUGUCGUAGCUAACGCAUUAAGCGCCCCGCCUGGGGAGUACGGCCGCAAGGCUAAAACUCAAAGGAAUUGACGGGGGCCCGCACAAGCGGCGGAGCAUGCGGAUUAAUUCGAUGCAACGCGAAGAACCUUACCAAGGCUUGACAUAUACGAGAACGGGCCAGAAAUGGUCAACUCUUUGGACACUCGUAAACAGGUGGUGCAUGGUUGUCGUCAGCUCGUGUCGUGAGAUGUUGGGUUAAGUCCCGCAACGAGCGCAACCCUCGUUCUAUGUUGCCAGCACGUAAUGGUGGGAACUCAUGGGAUACUGCCGGGGUCAACUCGGAGGAAGGUGGGGACGACGUCAAAUCAUCAUGCCCCUUAUGUCUUGGGCUUCACGCAUGCUACAAUGGCCAGUACAAAGGGCUGCAAUACCGUAAGGUGGAGCGAAUCCCAAAAAGCUGGUCCCAGUUCGGAUUGAGGUCUGCAACUCGACCUCAUGAAGUCGGAGUCGCUAGUAAUCGCAGAUCAGCAACGCUGCGGUGAAUACGUUCCCGGGCCUUGUACACACCGCCCGUCAAGUCAUGAAAGUCGGUAACACCCGAAGCCAGUGGCCUAACGCGCAAU